CCCAAGACAAGCAUGUACGUUGCGCGGGAGCGGCCGCAUACAAGAAUUCGCGGUGAGAACGUCGUCGACCGCAUUACCGCCAACCCACAAAGGACUGCGAUCUCAAGGCCUUGCUCCUUCAGCUGUAGCGCGACGUGAGCCCUGCCAUUUCACUUUCAAGAUACGUAAGCUGCUUCGACCCUGAAAAUGCCGACGCAAUGGUGCAUCUGAACAGCCAAUGGAUACCAUGCCCACUCUGUAACGACCAGUGCUUUUAAUGAAACAGCACAGCAGAAUAGUCAACCACGUGAGGCACCUCAGACAGCAUAUGCAGUGGGUUGUGACGGAUUUAAUGAUUUCAUCAGCAUUUUCACUGGAUGCAAGGCUGUGAAUCUCUUGUAUGAUGCAUGUGUGGAAAAGAAACCCAACAUCCGGUGCACAUGCCUGCUUGAAACAGUCGGGCAUAUCCCAUUAGUUGAGUGCCCCCGUGUCGGCAUUUGCUGAUGUGAUCCCAGCUAUCUUCACCCAUUACAUUCUGCUGAAUUUACUGCAGCCACCCUUUGGAAAAAUAACACAUGGCAAUUAUUUCAAGGUAAUUAGUUCUCCCAUACAGAAAAAAUACCAUUAGCAGUACUCGUGGGUGAUAAUCUGCCAGUUUGCAAUGGUGGCGAGCAUAAAUACCACUAGCUGUAGUAACACCAGUUUUGAAAUUAGGAAGCAACUUUCUUGCAGCUAGACUUUAUGUGUACUAUGUUUCAUGCAACGUCAGUGUUCAGAAUAAAAGCAUUUGACCACUGCAAAUUGUAGUUUUUUUUUUCUUCUAGACGUACAUAUGAACACAUUCUUGAUAUAAAAAGACAUGCAGGGCUGUAUUACAGCACAGAAAUGUUUGGACAAUUCAAGCUCAUUAAUUCAGAAUGUAAGUUUGAAAAUUCUAAGGAAUGAAACCAUUCUGUUUUCAGUGCACUGAAGUACACAAAGUGCACUUCAGCCACCAAAUGCAAUUGACAAGGUUGAUAACAUUUAUGAGUUAUGACGGCACUGCAGUUAACUUUGUGUUGGCAAGCACAUGAAUUUCGGGUUCUGCAAAAAAUGGAAUGUGCCUUGCACCUGUACAGGACAUUUCAUGCAACAAUCAAAAAAGGAUACAUAUUUGGCAAACAGGCUUCUCAGAAUAGCUUUUUGCACAGCACUUAGUUAAUAUAAUUUGUUAUGCAAUGCUUUCUUUAAUAUUUGUUUCAGGACAUAAGUUGUACUUAAAAAAUUUUGAAAGCUGUUCAGAAACACCGAAUGCAAGCUGAAGAAUGUGUUCACAUACAACCACUUCAGGGGGGCAGCCUUUUUCUGGUCACUCAAGACCUCAAAGACUGCUGUCAGGGAGGAGUGUGGCUGUUGCAGUGGGUGAAAAGUGCAAAAAAAAAUAAACGAACACUACAAAAGUGCUUUAUACCUGUUCAAGCAUGAACUAAAGCCAAGUACUCAAAUUGCCAUAUUAACAAGGAAUGUUGAGAUCUUGUGCAUCAGACAUUGGUAAUUUUUUACAAGAUGCCUCAAUCACACUGGUGAGCCUAUGCAGUUUUUUUUAUUUGUCGCCAGAAGUGCCCACACUGCUAUC